UUUUUUAACAGUGUUUCAAAGUGAAAAUGAAGAGGCACAUCUGGAAAAAUAAAGUAAAAAAGGGAGUUCCAACCAUGAUGGAUGGGUUCACCAAUUCAAUAAUGAAUAAACAUGAUCAAAGGA